rnacentral:tRNA from 1 species
UCCCUGGUGGUCCAGUGGUUAAGACUCUGUACUUCCAAUGCAGGGGACACAGGUUUGAUUCCUGGUCAAGGAA